rnacentral:rRNA from 1 species
AUUGAACGCUGGCGGCAGGCCUAACACAUGCAAGUCGAACGAGUGGCGGACGGGUGAGUAAUGUCUCGGAACCUGCCUGAUGGCGGGGGAUAACUACUGGAAACGGUAGCUAAUACCGCAUACCAUCAGAUGUGCCCAGAUGGGAUUAGCUAGUUGGUGGGGUAACGGCUCACCAAGGCGACGAUCCCUAGCUGGUCUGAGAGGAUGACCAGCCACACUGGAACUGAGACACGGCCCAGACUCCGACGGGAGGCAGCAGUGGGGAAUAUUGCACAAUGGGGGAAAGCCUGAUGCAGCCAUGCCGCGUGUAUGAAGAAGGCCUUCGGGUUGUAAAGUACUUUCAGCAGGGAGGCGUUACCCGCAGAAGAAGCACCGGCUAACUCCGUGCCAGCAGCCGCGGUAAUAC